rnacentral:rRNA from 1 species
GUAACAGGAAACAGCUUGCUGUUUCGCUGACGAGUGGCGGACGGGUGAGUAAUGUCUGGGAAACUGCCUGAUGGAGGGGGAUAACUACUGGAAACGGUAGCUAAUACCGCAUAACGUCGCAAGACCAAAGAGGGGGACCCUCGGGCCUCUUGCCAUCGGAUGUGCCCAGAUGGGAUUAGCUUGUUGGUGGGGUAACGGCUCACCAAGGCGACGAUCCCUAGCUGGUCUGAGAGGAUGACCAGCCACACUGGAACUGAGACACGGUCCAGACUCCUACGGGAGGCAGCAGUGGGGAAUAUUGCACAAUGGGCGCAAGCCUGAUGCAGCCAUGCCGCGUGUAUGAAGAAGGCCUUCGGGUUGUAAAGUACUUUCAGCGGGGAGGAAGGGAGUAAAGUUAAUACCUUUGCUCAUUGACGUUACCCGCAGAAGAAGCACCGGCUAACUCCGUGCCAGCAGCCGCGGUAGUACGGAGGGUGCAAGCGUUAAUCGGAAUUACUGGGCGUAAAGCGCACGCAGGCGGUUUGUUAAGUCAGAUGUGAAAUCCCCGGGCUCAACCUGGGAACUGCAUCUGAUACUGGCAAGCUUGAGUCUCGUAGAGGGGGGUAGAUUCCAGGUGUAGCGGUGAAAUGCGUAGAGAUCUGGAGGAAUAC